rnacentral:misc_RNA from 1 species
UGAUUACGUCCCUGCCCUUUGUACGCACCGCCCGUCGCUGCCCGGGACUGGGUUAUCUCGAGAAAGCUAGGGAUCGUUGGAGUUUAAUACUUUCGGGUGUUGGCUUCGAUGAGAACGAGUUUAAUCGCGGUGGCCUGAACCGGGCAAAAGUCGUAACAAGGUAGCCGUAGGUGAACCUUCGGCUGGAUCAUUAACGAUCAUGUUGAGAAUUUAUAUGAAUAUGAAUAAAAAGCAGAACGAAAGUAGUUACCACUCAACAUCCUUUGUGUUAAGACUAUAAACAAACUGAAACUAAAGGAACUGACGGAUUUAUUUAACGGCUAACCUGGGAUUCUAUGCAUCGGUUAAACAAUUGUGAACAAUGUCCGUGAUUGUGAUGAUACCGGUCGAUAGUGCGUUUUACGCAUGAGAAUUAAUGACCCCGAGUGGGCACCCAGAAAAACUCAUUUAUUCAUUUUUUUAUGACGGAAAAGCCUAAGUUGUAUCGAUGGAUCACUUGGCUCGUGGGUCGAUAAAGAUCGCAGUGAAUUGCGUUAAGAGGUACGAAUUACAGAUAUUAUGAAUGCCAUGUUAUCGAAUGCAUAUUGCGUCGUUGGGUUUUGCCCUUCGACAUGUGCGAUUCAGGGUGUUAUUCAAUACACAAGCAGUACAAUAAAAGCCCGCGUUGAGAACGCAUUAUUGUUUAUGUACUAGCAUUUAUGAAGUCAGCCGUAUUGAACGAGAAUAGAGGAUUUUUUUGUUGUAGACGAGUUUUACCGAAAGUCUUCUAUUUGAGUUUGAGCGGUUGUGUGUUUGAUUGAAGAAAAAUGGACGUUGUUGCGAGUUGACGACGAUUCAUAUGAAAAAAAAUCUUAACCACUUGAAUGUGGAGUUUUGAUGUACAUAAGCCUCAGUUUUUAAACAAGCAAAUACUUUUUGCUGGAUUGUUUUUUAUUCAUUUUUGAUUGAAAAACAGUUGGAUUUUCGCCUUCUCAUACGACAUUUUUGAGUUGUUGCGUCAAUUUGAUUGUUUAUUUCGAUUGAAAAAGUCUCAGUUUGUAUGAAUAAAUAAACGAUUUUAUGCAUUAAGGUGUCGUUUGAUUCGCUUUACGAGAACGACUGUUGUUUGGCAUCAAUAAAAAACUUUGAUUUUUGAAUGAAUUCACCUGAAUUGUGCAUGAUUACCUGCUGAACUUAAGCAUAUCAGUAAGCAGAGGAAAAGAAACAAACAUGGAUUUCCUUAGUAACGGCGAGUGAAAAAUCA